CCUACGGUAGGCAGCAGUGGGGAAUAUUUGGCAAUGGGCGCAAGCCUGACCCAGCAACGCCGCGUGAAGGAAGAAGGCUUUCGGGUUGUAAACUUCUUUUCUCAGGGACGAAGAAAGUGACGGUACCUGAGGAAUAAGCCACGGCUAACUACGUGCCAGCAGCCGCGGUAAUACGUAGGUGGCAAGCGUUAUCCGGAUUUAUUGGGUGUAAAGGGCGUGUAGGCGGGAGCGCAAGUCAGAUGUGAAAACGCAGGGUUCAACCUGUGGCCUGCAUUUGAAACUGUGUUUCUUUAGUACUGGAGAGGCAGACGGAAUUCCUAGUGUAGCGGUGAAAUGCGUAGAUAUUAGGAGGAACACCAGUGGCGAAGGCGGUCUGCUGGACAGCAACUGACGCUGAGGCGCGAAAGCGUGGGGAGCAAACAGGAUUAGAUACCCUGGUAGUC
rnacentral:rRNA from 1 species